AGCGAACGCUGGCGGCAGGCCUAACACAUGCAAGUCGAACGGAUCCUUCGGGAUUAGUGGCGGACGGGUGAGUAACACGUGGGAACGUGCCCUUUGGUUCGGAACAACUCAGGGAAACUUGAGCUAAUACCGGAUGUGCCCUUCGGGGGAAAGAUUUAUCGCCAUUGGAGCGGCCCGCGUAUGAGUAGCUAGUUGGUGAGGUAAAGGCUCACCAAGGCGACGAUCAGUAGAUGGUCUGAGAGGAUGAUCAGCCACAUUGGGACUGAGACACGGCCCAAACUCCUACGGGAGGCAGCAGUGGGGAAUCUUGCGCAAUGGGCGAAAGCCUGACGCAGCCAUGCCGCGUGAAUGAUGAAGGUCUUAGGAUUGUAAAAUUCUUUCACCGGGGACGAUAAUGGCGGUACCCGGAGAAGAAGCCCCGGCUAACUUCGUGCCAGCAGCCGCGGUAAAAC
rnacentral:rRNA from 1 species